UAUGGCCACAUCAUGUUGAAAUACCGUUUCCACUACGAUCACCGAAGUUAAGCAACGUUGAGCCUUGUCUGUACUUAUACGGGUGACCGUUUUGGAAUACCAGUUGCUGCAAG